rnacentral:tRNA from 1 species
GGGGUUAGAGCUCAGUGGUAGAGCGCCUGCUUGGUGUGCAUGAGGUCCUGGGUUCAAUCCCCAGUGCUGCCG